rnacentral:rRNA from 1 species
UAGGGAAUAUUGGACAAUGGGCACAAGCCUGAUCCAGCCAUGCCGCGUGAGUGAAGAAGGCCCUCGGGUUGUAAAGCUCUUUUGUCCGGAAAGAAAAGCAUCGGGUUAAUACCCCGGUGUUCUGACGGUACCGGAAGAAUAAGCCCCGGCUAACUUCGUGCCAGCAGCCGCGGUAAUACGAAGGGGGCUAGCGUUGCUCGGAAUCACUGGGCGUAAAGGGUGCGUAGGCGGGUUUCUAAGUCAGAGGUGAAAGCCUGGAGCUCAACUGCAGAACUGCCUUGGAUACUGGAAGUCUUAAGUUCGGCAGAGGUGAGUGGAACUGCGAGUGUAGAGGUGAAAAUCGUAGAUAUUCGCAAGAACACCAGUGGCGAAGGCGGCUCACUGGCCCGAUACUGACGCUGAGGCACGAAAGCGUGG